AGAAAUAUAUUUGAAACUUACAUAGUAUAUAUAUAUAUAUAUAUAUCAGUCACAAUGAGGAUAUUUAAACCUCUUAUAGGUAUAUUAAUCCAAGACACACU